GGGGAUGUGGCGGAAUGGCAGACGCAACAGACUCAAAAUCUGUCGAUCGAAGGGUCGUAAGGGUUCAAGUCCCUUCAUCCCCACCA
rnacentral:tRNA from 1 species